GGGAUAGAAUUCCAGGGGUAGCGGUGAAAUGCGUAGAUAUCUGGAGGAAUACCAAAGGCGAAGGCAGUCCCCUGGUCCGAUACUGACACUGAGGUACGAAAGCGUGGGGAGCAAACAGGAUUAGAUACCCUGGUAGUCCACGCCCUAAACGAUGUCGAUUAGCCAUUGGAAGGACCCCUUUUCCUUUCAGUGACGUAGCUAACGCGUUAAAUCGACCGCCUGGGAAGUACGACCGCAAGGUUAAAACUCAAAGGAAUUGACGGGGACCUGAACAAGCGGUGAAUGAUGUGGAUUAAUUCGAUGCUACGCGAAGAACCUUACCUACCUUUGACAUGGCCAAAGUUCUACCGAGAGGCGGAAGUACUCGUAAGAGGAUUGGCGCACAGGUGCUGCAUGGUUGUCGUCAGUUCGUGUCGCGAGAUGUUGGGUUCAGUCCCGCAACGAACGCAACCCUUAUCUUUAAUUGCUCCUAUUUUAACAGGCACUUUAAAGAAACUGCCAAUGAUAAGUUGGAGGAAGGUGGGGAUCACGUCAAGUCCGCAUGGCCUUUAUAGGUAGGGCUUCACACGUCAUACAAUGGUUAGAACAAAGAGCUGCAAAUUCGUAAGAAGGAGCCAAUCUCACAAACCUAACCUCAGUUCGAAUUGCGGUCUGCAACUCGAGCGCAUGAAGCCGGAAUCGCUAGUAAUCGUGGAUCAGAAUGCCACGGUGAAUACGUUCUUAGGUCUU
rnacentral:rRNA from 1 species